rnacentral:rRNA from 1 species
UCAAACUUUUAAAUUGAAGAGUUUGAUCAU